GCAGGGUGAGUCGACCCCUAAGGCGAGGCCGAAAGGCGUAGUCGAUGGGAAACGGGUUAAUAUUCCCGUACUUGGUGUUACUGCGAAGGGGGGACGGAGAAGGCUAUGUUGGCCGGGCGACGGUUGUCCCGGUUUAAGCGUGUAGGCUGGUUUUCCAGGCAAAUCCGGAAAAUCAAGGCUGAGGCGUGACGACGAGGCACUACGGUGCUGAAGCAACAAAUGCCCUGCUUCCAGGAAAAGCCUCUAAGCAUCAGGUAACACGAAAUCGUACCCCAAACCGACACAGGUGGUCAGGUAGAGAAUACCAAGGCGCUUGAGAGAACUCGGGUGAAGGAACUAGGCAAAAUGGUGCCGUAACUUCGGGAGAAGGCACGCUGACAUGUAGGUGAAGUGAUUUACUCAUGGAGCUGAAGUCAGUCGAAGAUACCAGCUGGCUGCAACUGUUUAUUAAAAACACAGCACUGUGCAAACACGAAAGUGGACGUAUACGGUGUGACGCCUGCCCGGUGCCGGAAGGUUAAUUGAUGGGGUCAGCGCAAGCGAAGCUCCUGAUCGAAGCCCCGGUAAACGGCGGCCGUAACUAUAACGGUCCUAAGGUAGCGAAAUUCCUUGUCGGGUAAGUUCCGACCUGCACGAAUGGCGUAAUGAUGGCCAGGCUGUCUCCACCCGAGACUCAGUGAAAUUGAACUCGCUGUGAAGAUGCAGUGUACCCGCGGCAAGACGGAAAGACCCCGUGAACCUUUACUAUAGCUUGACACUGAACAUUGAGCCUUGAUGUGUAGGAUAGGUGGGAGGCUUUGAAGUGUGGACGCCAGUCUGCAUGGAGCCGACCUUGAAAUACCACCCUUUAAUGUUUGAUGUUCUAACGUGGACCCGUGAUCCGGGUUGCGGACAGUGUCUGGUGGGUAGUUUGACUGGGGCGGUCUCCUCCUAAAGAGUAACGGAGGAGCACGAAGGUUGGCUAAUCCUGGUCGGACAUCAGGAGGUUAGUGCAAUGGCAUAAGCCAGCUUGACUGCGAGCGUGACGGCGCGAGCAGGUGCGAAAGCAGGUCAUAGUGAUCCGGUGGUUCUGAAUGGAAGGGCCAUCGCUCAACGGAUAAAAGGUACUCCGGGGAUAACAGGCUGAUACCGCCCAAGAGUUCAUAUCGACGGCGGUGUUUGGCACCUCGAUGUCGGCUCAUCACAUCCUGGGGCUGAAGUAGGUCCCAAGGGUAUGGCUGUUCGCCAUUUAAAGUGGUACGCGAGCUGGGUUUAGAACGUCGUGAGACAGUUCGGUCCCUAUCUGCCGUGGGCGCUGGAGAACUGAGGGGGGCUGCUCCUAGUACGAGAGGACCGGAGUGGACGCAUCACUGGUGUUCGGGUUGUCAUGCCAAUGGCACUGCCCGGUAGCUAAAUGCGGAAGAGAUAAGUGCUGAAAGCAUCUAAGCACGAAACUUGCCCCGA
rnacentral:rRNA from 1 species